UACAGAGGUCCCAAGCGUUGUUCGGAUUCACUGGGCGUAAAGGGUGCGUAGGUGGCCAGGUAAGUUCGGUGUGAAAGCUCGGAGCUUAACUCCGAAAUGGCAUUGAAUACUAUCUGGCUGGAGGGUCGGAGGGGAGACUGGAAUUCUCGGUGUAGCAGUGAAAUGCGUAGAUAUCGAGAGGAACACCAGUGGCGAAGGCGAGUCUCUGGACGACACCUGACACUGAGGCACGAAAGCCAGGGGAGCAAACAGG
rnacentral:rRNA from 1 species